rnacentral:rRNA from 1 species
UAAAUCACAAUGCGGGACUAUACGUCUUGCAAUUGGAUUGAGAACAAUGUACAACUCUUAUCGAUAAGCCAUUGGAGGGCAAGUCUGGUGCCAGCAGCCGCGGUAAUUCCAGCUCCAAUAGCGUAUAUUAACGUUGUUGCAGUUAAAAAGCUCGUAGUUGAAGUGUGGGUGAUCGCUGUUGUGAGACUUCGGUCUCUCGACAGUAAGUCACCCCCUUCCAGUAUCCAGUAGUGGGUAUUCACUUACUUACUAUUGUGUGUUGGUCGUUUACUGUGAGAAAAUUAGAGUGUUCAAAGCAGGCGUUUGCUUGAAUAGAUUAGCAUGGAAUAAUAAUUGAAGGCUUUCGUGUUCGAUUUGAUUGGUUUGUUCAUGGAAGCAAGGUUAAAAGGAACAGUUGGGGGUAUUCAUAUUCACUAGUUAGAGGUGAAAUUCUCG